rnacentral:rRNA from 1 species
UACGUAGGGUGCAAGCGUUGUCCGGAAUUAUUGGGCGUAAAGAGCUCGUAGGCGGCUUGUCGCGUCGGCUGUGAAAACCUGGGGCUCAACCCCGGGCCUGCAGCCGAUACGGGCAGCGUAGAGUUCGGUAGGGGAGACUGGAAUUCCUGGUGUAGCGGUGAAAUGCGCAGAGUAUCAGGAGGAACACCGGUGGCGAAGGCGGGUCUCUGGGCCGAAACUGACGCUGAGGAGCGAAAGCGUGGGGAGCGAACAGG